rnacentral:sRNA from 1 species
UGCUAGGAUUACAGGUGUGGGCUACCACACCCGGCCUAUCAGAACUUAUUAACAUUAGUGUCACUAAAGUUGGUAUUCAACCCCCCACUGCUAAAUUUGACUGGCUUUUA